AGUGAACGCUGGCGGUAGGCCUAACACAUGCAAGUCGAACGGCAGCACAGUAAGAGCUUGCUCUUACGGGUGGCGAGUGGCGGACGGGUGAGGAAUACAUCGGAAUCUACUUUUUCGUGGGGGAUAACGUAGGGAAACUUACGCUAAUACCGCAUACGACCUACGGGUGAAAGCAGGGGAUCUUCGGACCUUGCGCGAUUGAAUGAGCCGAUGUCGGAUUAGCUAGUUGGCGGGGUAAAGGCCCACCAAUGCGACGAUCCGUAGCUGGUCUGAGAGGAUGGUCAGCCACACUGGAACUGAGACACGGUCCAGACACCUACGGGAGGCAGCAGUGGGGAAGAUUGGAAAAUGGGCGCAAGCCUGAUCCAGCCAUACCGCGUGGGUGAAGAAGGCCUUCGGGUGGUAAAGCCCUUUUGUUGGGAAAGAAAAGCAGCAGGUUAAUACCCCGCUGUUCUGACGGUACCCAAAGAAUAAGCACCGGCUAACUUCGU
rnacentral:rRNA from 1 species